GCCAAGUACGACCUGAACCACUCCAGUGCUAUGCCCCUGAUGCCCACCCACUGCUUCAAACUGUGGGAUGAUGGCCCAGGCCAUGGCGGAGGCGUAGAUCCCACCGAUCGUCCAGAACAUGCAGUGCCAGCUCAGAUGCUCUCCUUGUUUCUCCUGGGCCAGAAACUCAGAGUAAUAGGAAAACACGAUGGGGAUAGAGCCACCAAUACUGUGGAGUAAAGAGGGAGGCAGGAAUGUACUAGCAUCCUCAGCCGUCCAAUCUUGUUGAAAGGAUAACGAUAUGGUGGCGAUUAAUCAGAUAUUAAUGUUGCAGAAGGCCCUUUUGCAACUGUAACUAUAAUCCUUUCAAGUGAAGGCUUUAAAUGUGAAACACCUGCAGGAAAGUUUAGUUACCAACAUCAUGAAAGCAAAAAAGUAGAGAGGAUGAGAAUGAAUGAAAGAGGAUGUGGGGAGAUGCUUUUCUCCUAUCUUUUACCAAGGCAACAUUUCCUUUAUUGAGAACAGACACUUAGUGAAAGUAACGCUGUGCUGUUGUUUCAUGUUUUUCUUAAUAAUGAAUGUUUAUUCAAAAUGCAAGUAUGUAUGGCAUUAAUAAAUGAUGCAAAUCACAA